CAUUACCAAACAUGAGUAACUUUAUGGCCAAUUUUAUCUCUUGGGAAUAAAAUAUGAGUAAUUUUGUGGCCAAAUAUUUGCAGAGUUGCAUUACCAAAUUUGAGUGUUGUGGUUAUGAACUCUGCAUUUUAACAUAAAAUUCCACUGUUUAUUGUACUUGGAGAAGAUCUGACUUGUAGUAUCUGGAUGUGUAGUUUAAUCAAUAAACCCAAUAUCUCUUAAGCUGUCAUUUGAUUUAGGUAACUAUUGUUCCACGGGAGGAAAAAUACAUUCCUUCUCUAAUCAUCUCUUUCAGUAAUAGUCUCAACUAUAGACAAUGAUUCGUCCAUUAUUGAGUGUUGCCAAAUUUGCUUCUGUUGUGGGGUUUGAAUGAUAAACUUUUAUUGAUAUGAUGUUUAAUUAACUUUUAGUUAAAUUAUAUAUUUAUUUAUUUAUUAUGUGUAUAAAAAAACAGAUUAUGCAUAUUCAAAUAUUAAAAAACAGUCUUAAUCAUUCAAUGUUAAAAUCUGGAGUCAACGUCUUAAUCAUUUAGAUUGAGACAUCUUAAUCUUAACGGGAAAAAAGGAGGCCUUAGUUUUUGGAAUUGGUUAUGUGAAUCUUCAAUGUCCAUUUCACUCCAUUUUUACACGUUCUAUGCCAAUACUUAAUUGUGUUGGUUUCACGAAUGCUAAUGGUUUUUGACAUCUUUAACUGAUAUACAAUUAACUGUUGACCUCAAUUCUUGAGCUCUCCUGGCAGUUUCUGUUUAAGGAAUUUCCCAUGGUAUUGGUUUCUUUAUUGGUAUGUACAUGAGAACAUUAUGUUGUGCUCCAAACAUAAUAAUGUGAUUUGAAUUGUCAACUGCAGUUAUCAUUAUCAGCUUCAAAGCUACGGGACCGUGAUAUAGUUUCUAAG
rnacentral:lncRNA from 1 species